AAGGUAGACUCUUUCUUUGUAGCUUCAUCCACUUGUCUUUGAAGGAAUUUCCUACAUCCUUCUAUUAAAGUUCAAAGAAAAUCCAGUGCCAAUAAUUCCUUCUAUAGCAUUAACUCUUAUUUCUUCUAACCUAUAAUCUUGUUGAAAAUAUUAUCUAUUGUUCUCUUACCACAAUAACAAUUUUUUCAGAUACAGUUUUCUUACUCUUUUCAGAGACUUAACACUGAGUCCAUGGCAUCUUCUUCUUCUUCUUCUUCUAGAUGGAGCUAUGAUGUUUUCCUAAGUUUUAGAGGUGAAGAUACUCGAAAAACAUUUACAAGUCACUUAUACGAAGUCUUGAAUGAUAGGGGAAUAAAAACCUUUCAAGACGAUAAAAGGCUAGAGUACGGUGCAACCAUUCCAGAAGAACUCUGUAAAGCUAUAGAAGAGUCUCAAUUUGCCAUCGUCAUUUUCUCAAAGAAUUAUGCAACAUCGAGGUGGUGUUUGAAUGAACUAGUGGAGAUCAUGGAAUGCAAGACUCAAUUUAGACAAACUGUUAUACCGAUAUUCUAUGAUGUGGAUCCAUCACAUGUUCGGAACCAAAAGGAGAGCUUUGCAAAAGCCUUUGAAGAACAUGAAAUAAAGUAUAAGGAUUAUGUUGAGGGAAUACAAAGAUGGAGGAUUGCUUUAAAUGCAGCGGCCAAUCUCAAAGGCUCAUGUGAUAAUCAUGAAAAGACUGAUGCAGAUUGUAUUCGGCAAAUUGUUGACCAAAUCUCAUCCAAAUUAUGCAAGAUUUCUUUAUCUUAUCUGCAAAACAUUGUUGGAAUAGAUACUCAUUUAGAGGAAAUAGAAUCCUUACUAGAGAUAGGAAUCAAUGAUGUUCGGAUUAUGGGAAUUUGGGGUAUGGGUGGAGUCGGUAAAACGACAAUAGCAAGAGCUAUGUUUGAUACUCUCUUAGUAAGAAGGGAUCGUUCCUAUCAAUUUGAUGGUGCUUGUUUCCUUGAGGAUAUUAAAGAAAACAAAGGUAGAAUACAUUCUCUGCAAAAUACCCUUCUCUCUAAACUGUUAAGGGAAAAAGCUGAGUACAAUAAUAAGGAGGAGGGAAAGCACCAAAUGGCUAGUAGAUUGUGUUCUAAGAAGGUCUUAAUUGUGCUUGAUGACAUAGAUGAUAAAGAUCAUUAUUUGGAGUAUUUAGCAGGUGAUCUUGAUUGGUUUGGUAAGGGCAGUAGAGUUGUUGUAACAACUAGAAACAAGCAUUUGAUAGGGAAGAAUGAUGCAAUAUAUGAAGUGACUGCACUACCUAAUCAUGAAUCCAUUCAAUUGUUCUAUCAACAUGCUUUCAGAAAAGAAGAUCCAGAUGAGUGUUUUAAGGAGCUCUCAUUGGAGGUAGUAAAUUAUGCUAAAGGCCUUCCUUUAGCCCUCAAAGUGUGGGGUUCUUUGUUGCAUAACCUAGGCUUAACUGAAUGGAAAAGUGCUAUAGAGCACAUGAAAAUUAAUUCUAAUUCGAAAAUUGUUGAAAAGCUCAAAAUAAGUUAUGAUGGAUUGGAGCCCAUCCAGCAAAAGAUGUUUCUAGAUAUAGCAUGCUUCUUUCGAGGGAGAUAUAAAGGUUACGCCAUGCAAAUUCUUGAGAGUUGUCAUUCUGGAGUUGAAUACGGAUUGCGUGUCUUAAUUGACAAAUCUCUUGUAUCCAUCUCCGAAAAAGGUGAGAUUCAAAUGCAUGACUUUAUAGAAGAUAUGGGUAAAUAUAUUGUGAAUUUUCAAAAAGAUCCCGAAGAACGCAGCAGACUAUGGCUCGUCGAGGAUUUCGAAGAAGUGAUGAUCAACAAUACACAUUUGCCGUCUCUACGGAGGAUAGAUCUCAGCUUCUCCAAAAGCCUAAUGCGAACACCAGAUUUCACGGGGAUGCCAAAUUUGGAGUAUUUGAAUCUGAAGAAUUGUAGUAAUCUUGAAGAGGUUCACCAUUCCUUGGGAUGUUGCAGCAAACUCAUUCGGUUAAAUUUGAUGUAUUGUGAAAGCCUUAAGAGGUUUCCAUGUGUUAACAUGGAAUCUCUUAAAUAUCUGAGUGUAGGAAAUUGCUCUCGGUUAGAGAAAUUUCCAGAAAUCCUCGGAAGAAUAAAGCCGGAGUUGGAGAUUGGCAUAAGGGAACUACCAUCCUCUUAUUUUCAAUACAAAUCUCAUAUUACCGAGCUAGAUUUGAGUUAUAUGAAAAACCUUGUAGCUCUUCCAAGCAGCAUAUGUAGGUUGAAAAGUUUGGUUAGUCUGAAUGUGUCGGGUUGCUUGAAACUUGAAAGCUUGCCAGAAGAGAUGGGGGAUUUGGACAACUUGGAGGAGCUUGAUGCUAGCUAUACUCUAAUUUCACGACCUCCGUCUACCAUCGUACGCUUGAACAAACUUAAAAUCUUGAAGUUUGGAGUGAGAGAUGGAGUGCACUUUGAGUUCCUUCCAGUAUUGGCUGAAGGAUUACGGUCAUUGGUACAUCUGAAUCUCAGUGACUGCAAUCUAAUAGAUGGAGGACUUCCGGAAGACAUUGGAUCUUUAUCCUCUUUGAAAGAAUUGUAUCUCAAUGGAAAUAAUUUUGAGCAUUUGCCUCGAAGCAUAGCCCAACUUGGUGAUCUUCGAAUCUUGCACUUAAGAGAUUGCAAGAGGCUUACACAGCUGCCACAACUUCCACCAGAAUUAAAUGAAUUGCAUGUAGAUUGUCAUACGGCUAUGAGAAGUAUCCAUGAUUUAGUAACAAAGAGAAAGAAACUACAGUGCGUGAUAUUCGAGUCAUUUGAUUAUGAGGAUGAUGCACACAAUGAUUUUAUAUAUAAUUUGUUUGCACAUGCCCUGUUUCAGGAUAUCUCUUCCUUGAGGCAUCACAUCUCUGCUUCAGAUUCCUUGUCCGAAAAUGUGUUUACCAUUGUGCAUCCAAAGAAGAAGAUACCGAGUUGGUUCCACCAUCAGGGUUGGGAUAGUAGUGUAUCAGUCAAUUUGCCUGAAAAUUGGUAUAUACCUGAUAAAUUCUUGGGAUUUUCUGUAUGUUACAAUGGCAGCUUAAUUGACACCACAGCUCAAUUGAUUCCCGUAUGUGAUGACGGGAUGUCGUGCAUCAUUCACAAACUUGACUUAUCCAACCAUUCAGAAUGUGAUACAGAAUCAUCCGGCAGUUCAAAAAGGGAUACAGAAUUCGCUAUUCAUUUUUUGUUGGUACCUCUUGCUGUCUUAUGGGAUACAUCUGAGGCAAAUGGAAAAACACCAAAUGACUAUGGGAUUAUUAGGCUAUCUUUUACUGGAGAAAUGAAUAAGUAUGGAGUUCGUUUGUUGUAUAAAGAAGAACCUGAGGAUGAGGCCUUGUCACAAAUGAGGGAAAAUAACUAUGAACCAACAGAACAUUCUACUGGGAUAAGGAGGACCCGAUAUAAAAAUAGUGUACACCAUGACUCUGUGACCGAUGAAUCCAGUUGCUGCUGUCGCAUACUCUAAUAACAUUAGAAACAAAGGUCACAUUCUAAUGGCAGUAACUUGCAAGUUUGGAAGCCAUUUGCUCUAUGAAGAGCACAUGUUUCCUUUGUUUGUAGCGGAACAACUAGACUCUUGGCCUGAGAAAGAGAUUCGCGAGAGAACUUACUUGGGUAAAAACCAAUUUAGAUGAAUGUUCGCGAAGCAAGAAAGCUGUGCCAAAAUGGAUGGAUGAAAGAAGCCUUGGAACUGUUCUUCCUUUGGGAUGUAGAGCUCAACUAGUCUUGUAUUCUCUCCAUCAGAAACUGAUGUUCACUUUUCACUUGCAAAAUAAUUUUCAUCUUAAAAAAACCAGAAGGCCAUUUUCAUAUCUGUACCAAGUUAAAUGUGGAGGUUCAGUUUAGUAUAGAGGGAGUAAAACAUCUUCUUAAAUAUUGUUUUUUUCCUUCAUAAACAGUCCUGAAAAGGAAAAAUCUGUUUCAUUUGGAACUUCAAUAAUCGCAGAAGUACCAGAUGAAUCAUACUUUAUAUAUCAUGAAAAGAGUAGAAAUCAGAAAUUUCAAACAACACUUGCAACAAACAUGCAUGUUUCCUAGGAAAGCUUUCCAAAACUUCAAAAACCUUGCAACAAAGUACUAUAUGCUUUCUUUACUUGUAUUUAUGCUAUUCUUUUCUGACAAAAUCGAUGUAUAUGUAGGUGUUGAGAUACGUUGGAUUCGUGGAUGGUGUCAAUGGAAAAGCGACUGUCGAGCUGUAAAGAUACAGUAACGAACUCCCAUUUGCACAACUCUCAGGAUCGCAUAGUAGUGUGUGGUCCGAUGCACUAAGCUCCCGCUAGGCGUGGGGCCCGGAGAAGGGUGGAACCACAAGGGUCUAUUGUACGCAGCCUUACCCUGCAUUUCUGCAACAUGCCGUUUCCACGACUCGAACCCGUGACCUCCUGAUCACAUGACAACAACUUUACCAGUUACGCCAAGGCUCCCCUUCAAUUACCGCAAGCUAGUAUUUUGCUUUUUUUUAGUACCAAGUUUUAGACUUUGUUGUAUGAUUUUCAUGUGGAAAGAUGUAUUUGGUGCUAAGGUGCUAGUUCAAUUGUUAACUGCAUUUCUGAUUA